rnacentral:rRNA from 1 species
GUUGCAGUUAAAGCUCGUAGUUGACCUUGGGUCUGGCUGGUUGGUCCGCCUCACCGCGUGUACUGAUCCGGCCGGACCUUUCCUCCUGGGGAAUCUCAUGCCCUUCACUGGGUGUGAUGGGGAACCAGGACUUUUACUUUGAAAAAAUUAGAGUGUUCAAAGCAGGCCUUUGCUCGAAUACAUUAGCAUGGAAUAAUAGAAUAGGACGUGUGGUUCUAUUUUGUUGGUUUCUAGGACCGCCGUAAUGAUUAAUAGGGAUAGUCGGGGGCAUCAGUAUUCAAUUGUCAGAGGUGAAAUUCUUGGAUUUAUUGAAGACUAACUACUGCGAAAGCAUUUGCCAAGGAUGUUUUCAUUAAUCAGUGAACGAAAGUUAGGGGAUCGAAGACGAUCAGAUACCGUCGUAGUCUUAACCAUAAACUAUGCCGACUAGGGAUCGGGCGAUGUUUUCUUUUGACUCGCUCGGCACCUUACGAGAAAUCAAAGUCUUUGGGUUCUGGGGGGAGUACGUCAGCAAUGAUGAAACUUAAAGAAAUUGACGGAAGGGCACCACCAGGAGUGGAGCCUGCGGCUUAAUUUGACUCAACACGGGGAAACUCACCAGGUCCAGACAUGAAAAGGAUUGACAGAUUGAGAGCUCUUUCUUGAUCUCAUGGGUGGUGGUGCAUGGCCGUUCUUAGUUGGUGGAGUGAUUUGUCUGCUUAAUUGCGAUAACGAACGAGACCUUAACCUGCUAAAUAGCCCGGGUUCGCUUUGGCGGAUCGCUGGCUUCUUAGAGGGACUAUCGGCUCAAGCCGAUGGAAGUUUGAGGCAUAACAGGUCUGUGAUGCUCUUAGAUGUCUGGGUCGCACGCGCGCUACACUGAC